rnacentral:rRNA from 1 species
GAUCAUGGCUCAGAUUGAACGCUGGCGGCAGGCCUAACACAUGCAAGUCGAACGGUAACAGGAAGAAGCUUGCUUCUUUGCUGACGAGUGGCGGACGGGUGAGUAAUGUCUGGGAAACUGCCUGAUGGAGGGGGAUAACUACUGGAAACGGUAGCUAAUACCGCAUAACGUCGCAAGACCAAAGAGGGGGGACCUUCGGGUCCGUCUUGUCCAUCGGAGUGUGCCCACGAUGGGAGUUAGCUAGUAGGU